ACGAACGCUGGCGGCAUGCCUAACCCCUGCAAGUCGAACGGGACCUUCGGGUCUAGUGGCGCACGGGUGCGUAACGCGUGGGAACCUGCCCUUAGGUUCGGAAUAACUCCCCGAAAGGGGUGCUAAUACCGGAUAAUGUCUUCGGACCAAAGAUUUAUCGCCUUUGGAUGGGCCCGCGUUGGAUUAGCUAGUUGGUAGGGUAAAAGCCUACCAAGGCGACGAUCCAUAGCUGGUCUGAGAGGAUGAUCAGCCACACUGGGACUGAGACACGGCCCAGACUCCUACGGGAGGCAGCAGUGGGGAAUAUUGGACAAUGGGCGAAAGCCUGAUCCAGCAAUGCCGCGUGAGUGAUGAAGGCCUUAGGGUUGUAAAGCUCUUUUACCCGGGAUGAUAAUGACAGUACCGGGAGAAUAAGCUCCGGCUAACUCCGCG
rnacentral:rRNA from 1 species